CAACAAUAGACUUCUGCAAGGUGAUCCAGAGUUUAUGGAAUCAUUAUUUUUUUGAGUGGGAGGAAACAAGAGAAUCAUAUGAAAAUGUGUCUGGUGUCAAAGAAGAUGAUGUCCUGGACAGAAAGGGACCCAACUGUUGGGGACAGUCACCUGAGCAUGUUGGUGGUUGCAGGAGGUGCUGGCAACCCUGCUCACAGCUCAGAUGCAACCUCAGGAAUGAAGCACAAAGCCAGCAGGCUGAAUUCCUCUCUGGAUGACACCAGCACAAAGACUCUGAGAGGCACACGUUCCUUGUACUGAUAAAUGGAGAGGAAGAGGACAGAAGAAAGCUGAGUAGCUGAGUUUAUGGUUUUCUGCUGAGAUGGAAGCAGUUCAUAGAACAAAUUACUUCAAGAAAAAGAGUUUAAAUCUAUGAAUCACAGAUGCUCCUGGUUAGAUGAUUAACGUAUGCCCUGGACCUAAAAGGCUAACAUGAGUUCACUUCUAAAAAACUUUAGAGUUUGAUUUGGUAAUAGUUUACUAUCCCUGAACUCACCUUGUUGUGUUGGGCAUGAGUGAAUUCUGAGCUGUUCACUAGCCUGUACCUUACUCCUAUCAGUCCUUAAAGAUUCCCUAGCAGUAUUAAAUGUAGGGAAUCACAAAACCGCUACCAUGGGCAUAUGCCAGUUGGAAUCACUCUCUUCUGCCUGUAUCAAUUACUGCUUUAAUU
rnacentral:lncRNA from 1 species